GUGCCAGCAGCCGCGGUAAUACGGAGGUGGCAAGCGUUGUUCGGAAUUACUGGGCGUAAAGGGCGCGUAGGCGGCAUGGCAAGUCAGAUGUGAAAGCCCCGGGCUUAACUCGGGAAUUGCAUCUGAAACUGCUUUGCUUGAGUCCUGGAGGGGGUAGUGGAAUUCCCAGUGUAGCGGUGAAAUGCGUAGAUAUUGGGAGGAACACCGGUGGCGAAGGCGGCUACCUGGACAGUGACUGACGCUGAGGCGCGAAAGCUAGGGGAGCAAACGGGAUUAGAUACCCCCGUAGUCC
rnacentral:rRNA from 1 species